rnacentral:rRNA from 1 species
GAACGUCCUCGCUCUUUUCUAUAGGGGGAGGGAGUGGCGGACGGGUGAGUAGCACAUGGGUGACCUGGCUCAAAGUGAGGGAUACCGGCGAGAAAUCGCCGACAAGCCCGCAUGGGCUCUCUUUCUUAGGAGGGGGAGAGCAAAGCCUUUCUUUUGCGAGAGGGGUGCUUUGAGAUGGGCCUGUGGCCGAUUAGCUGGUUGGUGGGGUAAGAGCCUACCAAGGCGACGAUCGGUAGCUGGUCUGAGAGGACGAUCAGCCACACUGGGAUUGAGAACGGCCCAGACUCCUACGGGGGGCAGCAGUGAGGAAUUUUCCGCAAUGGGCGCAAGCCUGACGGAGCAACGCCGCGUGCAGGAGGACGCUUUUCGGAGUGUAAACUGCUUUUUCCAGGGACGAGAGAGGACGGUACCUGGGGAAGAAGCCCCGGCUAACUACGUGCCAGCAGCCGCGGUAAU